CCUCUUCUUAUUUUUUAAUUGUUGUUAUUAUUUAUUUAUUGAUUUUUAACAAAACACAAGCUCAGAUAUUUUGAUUGCAUGUAACUAUUUGAGUACAGGGAUUAUCUUCCGGGAAUGUAAUUCUGCAUCUAUUUUGAGAAAUUAUACAUUGAUGAAUUUUUUGGUUUGUUGUUAUAAUUAUUUCAGCAACUGAGCUGGAUCUCUAAAAAGCCCUUUCUAAUAUUGCUUAGACCUGUGAGUAUAAUAAAAUUAAAGGGGAAUGCUUUUUCAUAUUUCAUUUUAGUCUUGUAAUUUUCUUUUUGUUUGCUUAGACCUGUGAGUUUCCUGUAAAACAUGGUAAUUGGGCUUCUGGAAGAUGAGUGGAACAAUUAAUUAGAUCUCUAGCUCUUGAAUCUCAAACAAAGUUUGCAUCAAGAUCUCCUUUUCAUUGGCCUUUCACAAACUUGUUACAAUUUUGAUUUUCUUCCCUAAAUUGGUUUGCAGUAAUUUCUUUUGCGCUGUUGUGGAAUUUUAUUCUUACAAUAGCCUCCGUCACAUUGAAUUUUUGUAUGCAAUGGGUGAAUCUGUGUAGGUAUCAUAUUGUUGCGAAUUUUAUCAUACAUUGCAAAUAUUUUGAUCAUGCCCUUGAAGAAUGAGAAUCCGUUUAUGAACUAAAUUUUAAGCUAAAUGUCUUGUAUUCUGAAAAUGAUGUCAUGCAGCUAAGAAUUUAGGGACUGAAAAUAUCAGAUUCUUGUGUUUAUUUUCUUUGGUUGCCAGACUGCAGAUCACACUAAAUGCGUUGGCGCAUUUCACAAGAAGCAGGAUUUUAUUGAUGUUGUAGAGGCCAUAUAUAGUGGGGCCAUGAAAGGCAAGCUGAUAGUGAGUUGCCCUCUGCCACCAGAGCAAAUACCGAAGUAUCAAUUGUUAUACAAGGAUGUAUAAAAGAAAAGAAAGGCUAGCAGCAGCACCGAAAACAACUAACAAACCCUCCUGAGAACAGAACUCACAUUUGGCAGAUUGCCAAAAAGAGAAUAGGGGGCUGGAGUUACACUAAUACCCCAUUUAGCUAAGGCAUUGGAAGCUUUGUUGAAGUUGCUGUGAAUCCAACAGAAUACAGAAUUCAGAAGAGCAUCUAGCUGACCUGAAUAAAUUAACUAUAUGGUGUACAGCUUCCAGGUGAAAUCAGAAAUAAUUGAUGAAGCUUUUGACUUGAUAUUAAGUAAUAAAGUCAUCCUAAAAAAGUCACUACCA